UACGGAAGGGGCAAGCGUUGUUCGGAAUCAUUGGGCGUAAAGGGCGCGUAGGUGGCUCUGUAUGUCUACCGUGAAAGCAUACGGCUCAACUGUAUUUUGUCGGUAGAAACUGCAGGACUUGAGGCUGGGAGGGGCUGGUGGAAUUCCCUGUGUAGCGGUGAAAUGCGUAGAGAUGGGGGAGAACACUCGUGGCGAAGGCGGCCAGCUAGACCAGUUCUGACACUGAGGCGCGACAGCGUGGGGAGCAAACAGG
rnacentral:rRNA from 1 species